CGUAAUUACCGCGUGUCCAUCGUGGCUAAGAUCUAGUCAAAAGAUCAGCCGACCAUUCCUACGUUUAUUAAGCGAAGGCCGAACCCAUCGGGUUUGGCCGUACGUAAUACCGUACGAAACGCCGGUCGUAGUGCCGUAAGCCGUACCCACUACAGUCUCGUCACCUUACCACACAUAUAAAUACCCAGCGUCCCGAUCGACUACAGUAUGUG